CAAUAGCGUAUAUUAAAGUUGUUGCGGUUAAAAAGCUCGUAGUUGGAUUUCUGCUGAGAACGACCGGUCCGCCCUUUGGGUGUGUAUCUGGCUCUUUCUUGGCAUCUUCUUGGUGAACGUUGCUGCACUUGACUGUGUGGAGCGCUACCCAGGACUUUUACUUUGAGGAAAUUAGAGUGUUUCAAGCAGGCAUACGCCUUGAAUACAUUAGCAUGGAAUAAUAAGAUAGGACCUCGGUUCUAUUUUGUUGGUUUCUAGAGCUGAGGUAAUGAUUAAUAGGGACUGUCGGGGGCAUUGGUAUUUGACUGUCAGAGGUGAAAUUCUUAGAUUCGUUGAGGACCAACCACUGCGAAAGCAUUUGUCAAGGAUGUCUCCAUUA
rnacentral:rRNA from 1 species